CGAGCCGGCCGGGCGGUCGCGACGGGUCCCUCAGGGGAUCCGCCGAGGAACGUCCGGGCUCCACAAGGCAGGGUGGUGGCUAACGGCCACCCGGGGUAACCCGCGGGACAGUGCCACAGAGAACAGACCGCCGGGCGCUUCGGCGCCCGGUAAGGGUGAAACGGUGGUGUAAGAGACCACCAGCGUCCAGGGCGACCUGGACGGCUAGGUAAACCCCACCUGGAGCAAGGUCAAGAUGGGCGUCGGCAACGACGCCCUGCGCUGACGUCUGAGGGCUGCCAGCCCGAGUCAGCGGGUAGACCGCUUGAGGCGGCCGGCAACGGCCGCCCUAGAUGGAUGACCGCCUCCCGCGGCCCGGCAACGGACCGCGGAGACAGAACCCGGCGUACAGGCCGACUCGUCCG
rfam:Streptacidiphilus jiangxiensis strain CGMCC 4.1857 genome assembly, contig: Ga0104467_119